rnacentral:rRNA from 1 species
GAGUAACGCGUAAGUAACUCUACCCUGAUUCGAUAACCACGAAGGUGAGCUAAUACCGGAUACGUUUANCUUGAUGCGAAUGAUGAUAAGAAAGGUGGCCUCUUCAUGAAAAGCUACUGUACAGGGACGAGCUUGCGUACCAUUAGCUAGUUGGUAGGGUAAUGGCCUACCAAGGCGACGAUGGUUAGCGGGUCUGAGAGGAUGAUCCGCCACACUGGAACUGGAACACGGACCAGACUCCUACGGGAGGCAGCAGUGAGGAAUAUUGCGCAAUGGGGGCAACCCUGACGCAGCGACGCCGCGUGGAUGAUGAAGGCCCUUGGGUCGUAAAAUCCUGUCAGAUGGAAAGAAAUGUAUAGCAGCUAAUAUCUGUUAUAUUUGACGGUACCAUCAAAGGAAGCACCGGCUAACUCCGUG